AUACGGAGGGUGCAAGCGUUGUUCGGAAUCACUGGGCGUAAAGGGCGCGCAGGCGGUUUGGUAAGUCAGAUGUGAAAGCCCAUGGCUCAACCAUGGAAGUGCAUUUGAAACUGUCAGACUUAAGUACUAGAGGGGAAAGUGGAAUUCCCGGUGUAGAGGUGAAAUUCGUAGAUAUCGGGAGGAAUACCGGUGGCGAAGGCGACUUUCUGGCUAGAUACUGACGCUGAGGCGCGAAAGCGUGGGGAGCAAACAGGAUUAGAUACCCUAGUAGUCC
rnacentral:rRNA from 1 species